UACGUAGGGGGCAAGCGUUGUCCGGAAUUACUGGGCGUAAAGCGCGUGUAGGCGGGACGAUAAGUCCGGCGUGAAAGGCUCGGGCUCAACCCGAGACGGCCGUUGGAAACUGUCGUUCUUGAGGGUCGAAGAGGAGAGUGGAAUUCCUGGUGUAGCGGUGAAAUGCGUAGAGAUCAGGAGGAACACCCAUGGCGAAGGCAGCUCUCUGGUCGACCUCUGACGCUGAGACGCGAAAGCGUGGGGAGCGAACGGG
rnacentral:rRNA from 1 species